GUCUACCAUGCAGUCGACGGUAACAGGAAGUAGCUUGCUACUUUGCUGACGAGUGGCGCACGGGUGAGUAAUAUAUAGGUAAUGUGCCCCUUGGACCGGGAUAGCCACUGGAAACGGUGAUUAAUACCGGAUACUCCUUCUAACUCUAAUGUUAGUCGGGAAAGUUUUUCGCUAAAAGAUCGGUCUAUAUCCCAUCAGUUAGUUGGUAAGGUAACGGCUUACCAAGGCAAUGACGGGUAGCGGGUUUGAGAGGAUGAUCCGCCACACUGGUACUGAGACACGGACCAGACUCCUACGGGAGGCAGCAGUGAGGAAUAUUGCACAAUGGGGGAAACCCUGAUGCAGCAACGCCGCGUGGAGGAUGACGCAUUUCGGUGUGUAAACUCCUUUUAUAUGUCAAGAAAAUGACGGUAGCAUAUGAAUAAGCACCGGCUAACUCCGUGCCAGCAGCCGCGGUAAUACGGAGGGUGCAAGCGUUAUUCGGAAUCACUGGGCGUAAAGGACGCGUAGGCGGGUUGGUAAGUCAGAUGUGAAAUCCUACAGCUUAACUGUAGAACUGCAUUUGAAACUACUAACCUAGAGUAUGGGAGGGGGAGAUGGAAUUAGUGGUGUAGGGGGUAAAAUCCG
rnacentral:rRNA from 1 species